CACAAGGGUCUGGUGGUGGGAACCACCAUCUUUCCAUGAGCUCUUUGUGCCAGUUCAUUGAGGAUAUUUGAGAGUGUGUGUGUGUGCCAUUCUUCUUGCUCAACCAAUGAACUGUCUUCUUUUGCCCUUUGCGCAUGGACCCUGAAACCACUGGUGCUGACAUUAAACUACUCUGCCUCUGCUGAGAACCAUUCAUCUCCCCUAUAAACUAUCUGCUCUGAUUUUAAAUGUGCACCACCUCUCACUCACUAGGAUUGAACAGGAAGACUGCGUCUGGGCAGCAGAAGUAGACUCUUCUUAAUCCAAGAAGAACUGUUCGUGUAAAAUAGUUUUUCCAGAACCAGCUGAAAAUACAAAAACAUUAGUCCUGAAAUGUUGUUACUCCUCUGCCCAAAUUUAAUAAUUAGGAUUCUCCUAGUUAAAUUGAUAUAGAAAUGAGGAAAUGCAUAUGAGAGCCUUUACCA